AAUUGAGCUAGAAAAUAUGUCUUAUGUACUACCCAGAGUCAUUAAACAGAUAUAUUUUUAUUUUUCAAGCAUUUAUUUGUCAGGCUGAUUGCAGCAGUCAGGAUAAGCUCCAGAAAACAAUAAAAUAUUCAUUUUAGAGAUUGUUCAUCCUCGUUUUUGCUACCCAGGAUUAGUAAAAUCCCUCAAAACUCAACGUUAAAGUUGUAACUGUGACAUAUGUGAAAUGAAUUAUUACAGGGACUUCUUCUUUCAGGCACGGAGAGAGAAAAUGAAAGCUUCUGUCAGUGAAGCAAAUAGUCGACCUUUGAUCCUCCAUGAAGGCGACUUGGACAUGUGCCAUGGGGCCCUUGAUUUAAAGGGCCCUUUGUGAAGGAGAAAUAAAUAAUAAAAGAGCUAAAUACUUAUUCAAUCAGAUUUAAUAAACAAUAACAAUGUUGGGCUCAAUUUUAGAAUAGUUACUGUAUGUUUAGUGUUUAUCUUUGGCAACUAAUUAUGUGUCAGCUUGUGAUGAAAUAAAGCACACUGUCUUGAUUGUGCCAAAUGCCAAAUAUGGGAUGAAGACCAAAUUAACCCCUGGCACAGAUUCAAUUGUUGUUAUUCUGAACUAGACUCUGUUAUUCCCCGUCAACAAAAAGUCAAAUCUGAAGACCGCCCAUUAGCAGCCAAACAAAGGAGGUGCAAAUGCUGAAAAAAGCAGCUAUAUGAUUUUUUUUCUUUUUUUUUUUUUUUUUGAAAAGUUGAUGAUGAGAUAAUAAUAGUCAAGCUGGAGAUACAAAAGAGAUGUUUUGGUGCCAUUAGUCAGUCAGACGGAUUAAUAUUACCACUGAAACGGAGCGAAAGAAGAAGAUUAAACACAAUAUAAAGGAAGUAUCUUUCUGUUUUUCUGUAUUAAUAUUUAUUUAUUUUAUGUUGUUAACCUUCUUCCUAUUGUCUUGCAUGAUAUAAUAUUACUUUUCUACUUUUUAUUUUUACUCUUACAUUUAUUUAAUCACCCUAACUUGUGUGGGGCUUAAAUUUGCGAUGCCUUUCUUGGUUACCAGGCAUUUGUUUGCAGUCAUUAAAACCUCAGUUAUCGUCCAACCUGGACUGGAUUUGCUAAAUUCUGAGAAAUUAUAGGAUUUGUAAAUGCAAAGCUCGACCAAACCACCGCCUUUAUUUAGAAAAAUACAACUAUUUAAGAUUUUCUACAUUUUGUCUUGCAGUUUGAUCAAACUUAGUGGUUAUCUGCUCUCUGCUGCCACUCGCAGUCCUAUUUGUAUUAGAAUGUGCUGCCAAAAAGGCCUCUGUUAUUACACUUGCUGAUGGAAAAAUAUGUGUGAAAAAAGAUCAAACACCAAUUGAAAAUAUCUUAACCUCUAUAUGGACUUUAUAAAAUAUCAAGUCAGAAAGCCAAAGCACACACAAACCUGAAUAUUGCCUUUUGUUUUCCAUCAGUGAGAUCAGUUUUAUCAAACAUUCCCUGGUAUCAGUCACUGUUUUGUUUUUGUUUUUUUUUCUUGUCUUAUCUGCUUUGGGGUCUUGUCCAAUGAUUCACGUUCUUCGUCCUUCCGCUUUUGUUUUGCCAAGUCGAAGCAUUUUCCUUUUUAAAGGCUCAUCUCAGGUGUUUUCAUUUCAUUUCCAGGGAAGCUGGUCAAACGAAAACAAGACGUAUCAGGGUUGCUUUGUUUUGAGAUUUCAGUACAGAAGAAAACUGGAGCAUCUGCAGUUCUCAUAGCAACCAGGGAGAAAACCCUGUGCAGACAUGAGCCGUCCAGUUACACGGAGUCCUCUGGGUUCUGGCAGCAACGGGACUGACUGUUGUGUACACAAGGAGAGCCCGAAACCUCCAGAUGAUAAUGAGAGAAAACCUAACGCAGAGGAGUACUGAGAGCUCUCAGAGUAACUGGACUGAUCCAAGAAAAUCUUACGAUACUUGGAGGACUUACUCAGCAUCUGCUUGGAACAUCGUAUGUUUACCAGAAGAGCACAAGGAUGACAUCUGAGCCUGCAAUGCCGUCUUCAAGCUGCCAAGAUGAGUAUCUGCUGAGUGUUCCUCUGAAGCACAUCAAACAAAAAUCCAGGCACCAAUCAAGUUUUUCCAGAGAGGUUGCUCUAGUUCCCCCAGGAAGGCGAACGUCCAGUUUUGCGGACUUUCAAGCGAGAAUUAAUCCGAACGUGUGUGACAGCUUCCAGCCUGUCAGUACAACAAAUAUCUCAGGUUUUUCCUGAUGAAUGGGAUCCUAAACAGAUCUGGAAUUCAGUGUGUUUUAAAUAUAUUCUCAUUAAAUGCUUCCGUAUAUGUAUGAUGAUGAUGAUGAUUAAGGAAAAUGAAUAAAAUGUGUUUUUUUAGAAGAAA